UACGAAGGGGGCUAGCGUUGUUCGGAAUCACUGGGCGUAAAGGGCGCGUAGGCGGCUUUGUAAGUCGGGGGUGAAAGCCUGUGGCUCAACCACAGAAUUGCCUUCGAUACUGCAUGGCUUGAGACCGGAAGAGGUAAGUGGAACUGCGAGUGUAGAGGUGAAAUUCGUAGAUAUUCGCAAGAACACCAGUGGCGAAGGCGGCUAUCUGGGCUGGCACUGACGCUGGAGGCGCGAAGGCUAGGGGAGCAAACAGG
rnacentral:rRNA from 1 species